CUAGCUGUAAACGAUGGGUACUAGGUGUAGGAGGUUUCGAUACCUUCUGUGCCGGAGUUAACGCAUUAAGUACCCCGCCUGGGGAGUACGUGCGCAAGCAUGAAACUCAAAGGAAUUGACGGGGGCCCGCACAAGCGGUGGAGCAUGUGGUUUAAUUCGAAGCAACGCGAAGAACCUUACCAGGUCUUGACAUCACCUAGCAAGCCAUGGAAACAUGGCCCUCCUUCGGGACUGGGUGACAGGUGG
rnacentral:rRNA from 1 species